AUUGAACGCUGGCGGCAGGCCUAACACAUGCAAGUCGAACGGUAACAGGAAGAAGCUUGCUUCUUUGCUGACGAGUGGCGGACGGGUGAGUAAUGUCUGGGAAACUGCUUGAUGGCGGGGGAAAACUACUGGAAACGGUAGCUAAUACCGCAUAACUUUGCAAGAGCAAAGAGGGGGACCUACGGGCCUCUUUCCAUUGGCUGUGCGCAGAUGGGAUUAGCCAGUAGGUGGGGGGACGGCUCACCAAGGCGACGAUCCCUAGCUGGUCUGAGAGGCUGACCAGCCACACUGGAACUGAGACACGGUCCAGACUCCUACGGGAGGCAGCAGUGGGGAAUCUUGCGCAAUGGGCGCAAGCCUGAUGGAGCCAUGCCGCGUGUGUGAAGAAGGCCUUCGGGUUGUAAAGUACUUUCAGCAGGGAGGAAGAAAGUAAAGUUAAUACCUGCACUCAUUGACGGUACCCGAAGAAGAAGCACCGGCUAACUACGUG
rnacentral:rRNA from 1 species